rnacentral:lncRNA from 1 species
CUCAGCUAAUUAAAAAUCUUGCUUAAAUAAAACUGUAGUGUAGACUCGGAUGGAUAUGGUUUCUCCUGGAUCUGAGUUUUUCAGUGGAGAGCUGAAGCCACUUAGAGUCCAGGGUGAGAGCUGUACACACAUACCUCCCCAAGACCCUUCCUUACAUGGCGUGGAGCACGACGACAGCUUCCCUGAAGCCAACCCCAG